CCUGAUGGUGCAAAGGGUUUUGCGCUUGUCUACCAAACUAAAGGCUGGUGGUUCAAAUCUACCCAGCAGCA
rnacentral:tRNA from 1 species